GCGCACCAGUCGAGAAUCCUCCUCAAUGCACUCACGUGCGAAGGGGUUACCUCGAGUGCCGCCUGAAGAAGGCGGCUUUUCCAUGGUCUAAAAAGCCUAGGGAAUAAGAGGGGGCAAGACUGGUGUCAGCCGCCGCGGUAACACCAGCCCCUCGAGUGGUGGGGAUGAUUAUUUGGCCUAAAGCGUCCGUAGCCGGCCGGGUAAGUCUCCCGUUAAAUCCAGCGUCUCAAGCGUUGGACUGCGGGAGAUACUGUCUGGCUAGAGAGUGGGAGAGGUGUACGGUAUUCUGGGGGUAGGGCGAAAUCCUUUGAUCCCCGGAGGACCACCAGUGGCGAAGGCUGUACACUAGAACACGUCUGACGGUCAGGGACGAAAGCUGGGGUAGCGAACCGGAUUAGAUA
rnacentral:rRNA from 1 species